rnacentral:rRNA from 1 species
GAUGAACGCUAGCUACAGGCUUAACACAUGCAAGUCGAGGGGAAACGAUAUUGGAAGCUUGCUUCUGAUAGGCAUCGACCGGCGCACGGGUGAGUAACGCGUAUCCAAUCUGCCCAUCACUUGGGGAUAACCUUGUGAAAGUAAGACUAAUACCCAAUGACGUCUCUAGAAGACAUCUGAAAGAGAUUAAAGAUUUAUCGGUGAUGGAUGGGGAUGCGUCUGAUUAGCUUGUUGGCGGGGUAACGGCCCACCAAGGCGACGAUCAGUAGGGGUUCUGAGAGGAAGGUCCCCCACAUUGGAACUGAGACACGGUCCAAACUCCUACGGGAGGCAGCAGUGAGGAAUAUUGGUCAAUGGACGAGAGUCUGAACCAGCCAAGUAGCGUGCAGGAUGACGGCCCUAUGGGUUGUAAACUGCUUUUAUAAGGGAAUAAAGUGGGAGUCGUGACUCUUUUUGCAUGUACCUUAUGAAUAAGGACCGGCUAAUUCCGUGCCAG